CGUUCAGGGCUACACACGUAAUACAAUGGGAAGUACAGAGGGUAGCAAAACUGCGAAGUGGAGCCAAUCCCAAAAAACUUCCCCAAGUUCAGAUUGCAGUCUGCAACUCGACUGCAUGAAGCAGGAAUCGCUAGUAAUCGCGCAUCAGCAUGGCGCGGUGAAUACGUUCCCGGGUCUUGUACACACCGCCCGUCACGCCAUGGAAGCCGGUAGCACCCAACAUCGGUGUCCUAACCUUCGGGAAGGAGCCGCUUAAGGUGAGAUUGGUAACUGGGGCGAAGUCGUAACAAGGUAGCCGUACCGGAAGGUGCGGCUGGAUUACCUCCUUUCUAGGGAGUAAUCCCGCAUUCUGCGGGAUACGGUCGAACCUAAAUGUUUCGGCAGCUCACGCACACAUUCUCAUCUUUUGGGGUUUGUAGCUCAGUCGGUUAGAGCACCGCUCUGAUAAGGCGGGGGUCGGUAGUUCGAGUCUACCCAGACCCACUUUAAGAGCUCAGUGUUAUUUUAUAGCCUGCUGAUUAAGGGGCUGUAGCUCAGCUGGGAGAGCAUCGCGUUUGCAACGCGAGGGUCGCAGGUUCAAUCCCUGUCAGCUCCACAAUAAUUUAAGUUUUCCAUCAUCCGAUGGAAAAUUUCAGUAAAUUUGCAUUCCAUCUUUUAGAUGGAAUGCAAAACUCUUUGCUCUUGAAGCAAAUGAGUUGUUUUUUGAAAUUGUGAGUUUAUAUCCAAAUAACUGUAAUAAAUGUCUAUCUGGAAAAGUAAAAGGCUUUGAUUAAGUUAAUAAGGGCAUUUGGUGGAUGCCUUGGCAUAUGAAGGCGAUGAAGGGCGUGGUAAGCUGCGAUAAGCCUCGGUUAG
rnacentral:sRNA from 1 species